rnacentral:rRNA from 1 species
GAUGAACGCUGGCGGCGUGCUUAACACAUGCAAGUCGAACGGAGAACACUCGCUGAUGCGAGCUUGCUCAAAUCUUGAGUGUUCUUAGUGGCGGACGGGUGAGUAACGCGUGGGUAACCUGCCGUAUACAGGGGGACAACAGUUGGAAACGACUGCUAAUACCGCAUAAGCGCACAGGACCGCAUGGUCUGGUGUGAAAAACUCCGGUGGUAUACGAUGGACCCGCGUCUGAUUAGCUAGUUGGUGAGGUAACGGCCCACCAAGGCGACGAUCAGUAGCCGGCCUGAGAGGGUGAACGGCCACAUUGGGACUGAGACACGGCCCAAACUCCUACGGGAGGCAGCAGUGGGGAAUAUUGGACAAUGGGGGGAACCCUGAUCCAGCGACGCCGCGUGAGGGAAGACGGUCUUCGGAUUGUAAACCUAAGUUAUCAGGGACGAUUAUGACGGUACCUGAAGAGAAAGCUCCGGCUAACUACGUGCCAGCAGCCGCGGU